rnacentral:rRNA from 1 species
UGGGGAAUUUUGGACAAUGGGCGCAAGCCUGAUCCAGCCAUGCCGCGUGCAGGAUGAAGGCCUUCGGGUUGUAAACUGCUUUUGUACGGAACGAAAAGGUGCCUUCUAAUAAAGGGCGCUCAUGACGGUACCGUAAGAAUAAGCACCGGCUAACUACGUGCCAGCAGCCGCGGUAAUACGUAGGGUGCGAGCGUUAAUCGGAAUUACUGGGCGUAGAGCGUGCGCAGGCGGUUUUGUAAGACAGAGGUGAAAUCCCCGGGCUCAACCUGGGAACUGCCUUUGUGACUGCAAGGCUGGAGUGCGGCAGAGGGGGAUGGAAUUCCGCGUGUAGCAGUGAAAUGCGUAGAUAUGCGGAGGAACACUGAUGGCGAAGGCAAUCCCCUGGGCCUGCACUGACGCUCAUGCACGAAAGCGUGGGGAGCAAAC